GGGGCGAAGGCGCUUCCGGGAGGCAGGGGUGGGCCGGGGGCUGUGCCUUCGCUUGGGACGUUUAAAGGGCAAAUUCAUGUUAUCUGUCCCGCGAGCAGAGGGAACACCGUGUCUCUGCAGCAUGUGGGCCACUGUAUUUAUAGCACAAGGAGGUUUAGGCUAGGCCGGACCUGGACUCUGGGCCCUCGGCCUAAAGCCCGGCUCGCUUUAUCUUCAGGCUCGCACGAGACCCACUCCUGGCCAAGGCAUUUCGGCCCAUUUUCCUUCUUCUUUGUAACUGUGUCCCUCACCAAAGCUUCCUGCCUGGAUGUGGGCCUCUAAAGAGUUAUGUGCUGUCACAAAUCAAUUAAGAUCCGCCAAAAUAAAUACACUAACGUCAUAUGAUGCUGUGAUUGCUUCAUGUAAUCUGGCAACCUGCUGAAUCUCCUUUUCUCUCCAUUCAGUCGUUCAAUCAUUCAUUCUGCUAUCAAAUGUUUAUGUGCCUGGCACUCACUGCCACCAGGACAGGCCGAAUGCAAGGAGCCACUAGGCUUGCUGAUGAGUGCAGACAGACAUCAUGUUAGGCACUGAGGGAGCUGCAGUUCAGUGUCACCCAGGGUCUGAAGGCUUCAGUAGAGCAGAGGUCACUUACUUGGGUGCCAGGACCACAACAGCAAGAAUUAUUGAAUGCCCGCUCUAAACACCAAACACUCUGUUGGGUACCAGGGAUACAAAAAUCAUGAAGGUUAAGAUCGCUGCCCUGGAGAAGCUCACGUGGUGGGAACAGACACACUGGUGUUGCCUACAGAGCCCUUCCAACGUGGUGAGACAAGGCUCCAUGCAGAGCUGUGGCUGUAACUUCCCGCUGAAUGACUGUCAACAUGCUACCCUAGUCAGAACUAGUAUUUUUAACGUUUUAUGAAUGCUUAUGACAAAGACGUUUUGUUAGAAGGA